rnacentral:rRNA from 1 species
CGCCUGUUUAUCAAAAACAUCGCCUCUUGCAAAAACAAAGAAUAAGAGGUCCUGCCUGCCCUGUGAUUAUAAAUUUAACGGCCGCGGUAUUUUGACCGUGCGAAGGUAGCGCAAUCACUUGUCUCUUAAAUAGAGACCCGUAUGAAAGGCAAGACGAGGGUUUAACUGUCUCCCUUUUUGAGUCAAUGAAAUUGAUCUCCCCGUGCAGAAGCGGGGAUAAACACAUUAGACGAGAAGACCCUAUGGAGCUUUAGACACUAAAGCAGCCCACGUUAAGCACCCUUGAUUAAAAGACCAAACUAAUUGUAAUCUGCCCUACUGUCUUCGGUUGGGGCGACCACGGGGAAAAACAAAACCCCCAUGAGGAAUGGAAGCACAAUCCUCCCAAACCAAGAGUAACAACUCUAAGAAUCAGAAUUUCUGACUAAUCUGAUCCGGCAAAGCCGAUUAACGAACCAAGUUACCCUAGGGAUAACAGCGCAAUCCCCUUUUAGAGUCCAUAUCGACAAGGGGGUUUACGACCUCGAUGUUGGAUCAGGACAUCCUAAUGGUGCAGCCGCUAUUAAGGGUUCGUUUGUUCAACGAUUAAAGUCCUACGUGAUCUGAGUUCAGACCGG